rnacentral:lncRNA from 13 species
GAGGAGAGCAAUGCGGGGGCCCGAGCGGCAGCUCGAACAGUAAUGUGGAUUUACAGUCGUUUUCCGCAGGAAUCGGCCGAGACGCCCUAAGUCCCGGGCACUGACAGCGCCCAGCGGAGCUGAGCACCUGGCGAGGGGGCGGGGGAACCGCACCUGGGGACGCAGCCGAAACUUGCGCUUGGAAUAGGAGUUACAAGGGUGAUCUUUAUUCCGCUGUCUCCUUUUUGAUUGACAGAACUUCUGGAUCUAUCAAGGUAUGUACAUUUUAUACUAAAUUUUACUUUGAGAAUUGAACACAUAGCUACAUAAUGUGAAAAGAGUGGAAUGUUUUGGUGAUAUAGUCAGUUAUGUUUAUUGUGUGUCAUGUAAAUGAAAUGCAUUGUUUUAAAAUUUUGUAAGUCUUCUUGUCCUUUUUAUAGAUAAGCUUGUAUCUGUACCUCAUAAUUUUUAGUGUUUGUAAAAACAAAUAUGCAGGCUGUGUUACAUGUCUGAAUAAUUCUGUGACCUUUUCCACAUACAGCUACUAAAAUCAGGAGACUUCUUGACUAAUGGGAACAUCUGCAGUGUGUGUAGG